rnacentral:rRNA from 1 species
UACGGAGGGUGCAAACGUUGCUCGGAAUCAUUGGGCGUAAAGCGCACGUAGGCGGCCUGUUAAGUCGGAUGUGAAAGCCCUGGGCUCAACCCAGGAAGUGCAUUCGAAACUGGCAGGCUUGAAUAUGGAAGAGGGUCGCGGAAUUCCCGGUGUAGAGGUGAAAUUCGUAGAUAUCGGGAGGAACACCAGUGGCGAAGGCGGCGACCUGGGCCAAUAUUGACGCUGAGGCACGAAGGCUGGGGGAGCGAACAGG